rnacentral:rRNA from 1 species
ACAAGCGGCGGAGCAUGUGGAUUAAUUCGAUGCAACGCGAAGAACCUUACCUGGGCUUGACAUGCACUGGACAGCCGUAGAGAUACGGUUUUCUUCGGACUGGUGUACAGGUGGUGCAUGGCUGUCGUCAGCUCGUGUCGUGAGAUGUUGGGUUAAGUCUCGCAACGAGCGCAACCGUUGUCCUGCGUUGCCAGCACGUAAUGG